rnacentral:rRNA from 1 species
AGUGAACGCUGGCGGUAGGCCUAACACAUGCAAGUCGAACGGCAGCACAGUAAGAGCUUGCUCUUACGGGUGGCGAGUGGCGGACGGGUGAGGAAUACAUCGGAAUCUACUUUUUCGUGGGGGAUAACGUAGGGAAACUUACGCUAAUACCGCAUACGACCUACGGGUGAAAGCAGGGGAACUUCGGACCUUGCGCGAUUGAAUGAGCCGAUGUCGGAUUAGCUAGUUGGCGGGGUAAAGGCCCACCAAGGCGACGAUCCGUAGCUGGUCUGAGAGGAUGAUCGGCCACACUGGAACUGAGACACGGUCCAGACUCCUACGGGAGGCAGCAGUGGGGAAUAUUGGACAAUGGGCGCAAGCCUGAUCCAGCCAUACCGCGUGGGUGAAGAAGGCCUUCGGGUUGUAAAGCCCUUUUGUUGGGAAAGAAAAGCAGCAGGUUAAUACCCCGCUGUUCUGACGGUACCCAAAGAAUAAGCACCGGCUAACUUCGUG